GUCUGCGUCGAUUAGUGGUUAAAUCACCUCGUUGUGGUUUCACACAGUUUCCGAGGAGCCGCGUGUUCAAUUCACGCCGCGGACA